rnacentral:rRNA from 1 species
UACGUAGGGUGCGAGCGUUAAUCGGAAUUACUGGGCGUAAAGCGUGCGCAGGCGGUUUUGUAAGCCAGAUGUGAAAUCCCCGGGCUUAACCUGGGAAUGGCAUUUGGGACUGCAAGGCUCGAGUGCGGCAGAGGAGACUGGAAUUCAUGGUGUAGCAGUGAAAUGCGUAGAGAUCAUGAGGAAGACCAGUGGCGAAGGCGGGUCUCUGGACAGUUCCUGACACUGAGACACGAAGGCCAGGGGAGCAAACGGG